GACGAACGCUGGCGGCGUGCUUAACACAUGCAAGUCGAACGAAGUGGCGAACGGGUGAGUAACGCGUAAUCAACCUGCCCUUCAGAGGGGGACAACAGUUGAAAACGACUGCUAAUACCGCAUACGGAAGGAGGGGAUUGCGGCUGAUUAGCUAGUUGGAGGGGUAACGGCCCACCCAGGCGAUGAUCAGUAGGCGGGCGGGGAUGGUGAACGGCCAAAUUUGGACUGGGAAACGGGCCAGAACCCUACGGGAGGCAGCAGUGGGGAAUCGUCCGCAAUGGACGAAAGUCCGACGGAGGAACGCCGCGGUAGUGAUGACGGCCGUCGGGUUGUAAAGCUCUGUUAAUCGGGACGCGGUACCGGAAUAGAAAGCCACGGCUAACUACGUGCCAGCAGCCGCGGUAAUUC
rnacentral:rRNA from 1 species